CUUUGUUUUUAAUUGAUAUGAAGAGCUUGCUCUGAUUUGAUUCCCUUUAAGAAAGAGUGGCGAACGGGUGAGUAACACGUGGGUAACCUACCUCUUAGCAGGGGAUAACAUUUGGAAACAAGUGCUAAUACCGUAUAACACUAACAACCGCAUGGUUGUUAGUUGAAAGAUGGUUCUGCUAUCACUAAGAGAUGGACCCGCGGUGCAUUAGCUAGUUGGUAAGGUAAUGGCUUACCAAGGCGAUGAUGCGUAGCCGAGUUGAGAGACUGAUCGGCCACAAUGGGACUGAGACACGGCCCAUACUCCUACGGGAGGCAGCAGUAGGGAAUCUUCCACAAUGGGCGCAAGCCUGAUGGAGCAACGCCGCGUGUGUGAUGAAGGGUUUCGGCUCGUAAAACACUGUUAUAAGAGAAGAACGACAUUGAGAGUAACUGUUCAGUGUGUGACGGUAUCUUAUCAGAAAGGAACGGCUAAAUACGUGCCAGCAGCCGCGGUAAUACGUAUGUUCCAAGCGUUAUCCGGAUUUAUUGGGCGUAAAGCGAGCGCAGACGGUUAUUUAAGUCUGAAGUGAAAGCCCUCAGCUCAACUGAGGAAGGGCUUUGGAAACUGGAUAACUUGAGUGCAGUAGAGGAAAGUGGAACUCCGUGUGUAGCGGUGAAAUGCGUAGAUAUAUGGAAGAACACCGGUGGCGAAAGCGGCUUUCUGGACUGUAACUGACGUUGAGGCUCGAAAGUGUGGGUAGCAAACAGGAUUAGAUACCCUGGUAGUCCACACCGUAAACGAUGAGUGCUAGAUGUUCGAGGGUUUCCGCCCUUGAGUGUCGCAGCUAACGCAUUAAGCACUCCGCCUGGGGAGUACGACCG
rnacentral:rRNA from 1 species